GUCCCCUUCGUCUAGAGGCGGGGACACCGCCCUUUCACGGCGGUAACAGGGGUUCGAAUCCCCUAGGGGACGCCA
rnacentral:tRNA from 1 species